UGGGGAAUUUUGGACAAUGGGCGAAAGCCUGAUCCAGCAAUGCCGCGUGAGUGAAGAAGGCCUUCGGGUUGUAAAGCUCUUUUGUCAGGGAAGAAACGGUGAGGGCUAAUAUCCUUCGCUAAUGACGGUACCUGAAGAAUAAGCACCGGCUAACUACGUGCCAGCAGCCGCGGUAAUACGUAGGGUGCAAGCGUUAAUCGGAAUUACUGGGCGUAAAGCGUGCGCAGGCGGUUUUGUAAGUCUGACGUGAAAUCCCCGGGCUCAACCUGGGAAUUGCGUUGGAGACUGCAAGGCUAGAAUCUGGCAGAGGGGGGUAGAAUUCCACGUGUAGCAGUGAAAUGCGUAGAGAUGUGGAGGAACACCGAUGGCGAAGGCAGCCCCCUGGGUCAAGAUUGACGCUCAUGCACGAAAGCGUGGGGAGCAAACAGG
rnacentral:rRNA from 1 species